CUGGCGAGGCUGAAGAAACUGAAGUACUCUAUUUAUCCACCGGCCAGGUACGCUGGAAGCUCCUCCAGUGACCUCUGCCCUGCCCCCAUGAGGGACUGCCCUCUUCUGGGACAAUAGGUAAUUCGGUUUUCAUGCUACCCCAGUCCAGGGAUCUG
ensembl:misc_RNA